AACACGUGAGUAACCUGCCCUUGACUCUGGGAUAACCUCCGGAAACGGAAGCUAAUACCGGAUAUGACGUACGGAGGCAUCUCCUGUACGUGGAAAGAAUUUCGGUCAAGGAUGGACUCGCGGCCUAUCAGGUAGUUGGUGAGGUAACGGCCCACCAAGCCUACGACGGGUAGCCGGCCUGAGAGGGUGACCGGCCACACUGGGACUGAGACACGGCCCAGACUCCUACGGGAGGCAGCAGUGGGGAAUAUUGCACAAUGGGCGCAAGCCUGAUGCAGCAACGCCGCGUGAGGGACGACGGCCUUCGGGUUGUAAACCUCUUUUAGUAGGGAAGAAGCGAAAGUGACGGUACCUGCAGAAAAAGCACCGGCUAACUACGUGCCAGCAGCCGCGGUAAUACGUAGGGUGCAAGCGUUGUCCGGAAUUAUUGGGCGUAAAGAGCUCGUAGGCGGUUUGUCGCGUCUGCUGUGAAAUCCCGAGGCUCAACCUCGGGCCUGCAGUGGGUACGGGCAGACUAGAGUGCGGUAGGGGAGAUUGGAAUUCCUGGUGUAGCGGUGGAAUGCGCAGAUAUCAGGAGGAACACCGAUGGCGAAGGCAGAUCUCUGGGCCGUAACUGACGCUGAGGAGCGAAAGCGUGGGGAGCGAACAGGAUUAGAUACCCUGGUAGUCCACGCCGUAAACGUUGGGAACUAGAUGUGGG
rnacentral:rRNA from 1 species